rnacentral:rRNA from 1 species
UACGAAGGGGGCUAGCGUUGCUCGGAAUCACUGGGCGUAAAGCGCACGUAGGCGGUUUGUUAAGUCAGGGGUGAAAUCCCACAGCUCAACUGUGGAACUGCCUUUGAUACUGGCAGCUAGAGUCCGGAAGAGGUAAGUGGAACUCCUAGUGUAGAGGUGGAAUUCGUAGAUAUUAGGAAGAACACCAGUGGCGAAGGCGGCUUACUGGUCCGGAACUGACGCUGAGGUGCGAAAGCGUGGGGAGCAAACAGG